rnacentral:rRNA from 1 species
AACGAACGCUGGCGGCAUGCCUAACACAUGCAAGUCGAACGAGACCUUCGGGUCUAGUGGCGCACGGGUGCGUAACGCGUGGGAACCUGCCCUUAGGUUCGGAAUAACUCCCCGAAAGGGGUGCUAAUACCGGAUAAUGUCUUCGGACCAAAGAUUUAUCGCCUUUGGAUGGGCCCGCGUUGGAUUAGCUAGUUGGUAGGGUAAAAGCCUACCAAGGCGACGAUCCAUAGCUGGUCUGAGAGGAUGACCAGCCACACUGGGACUGAGACACGGCCCAGACUCCUACGGGAGGCAGCAGUGGGGAAUAUUGGACAAUGGGCGAAAGACUGAUCCAGCAAUGCCGCGUGAGUGAUGAAGGCCUUAGGGUUGUAAAGCUCUUUUACCCGGGAUGAUAAUGACAGUACCGGGAGAAUAAGCUCCGGCUAACUCCGUG